AGACCCGAAACCCGGUGAUCUAGCCAUGGGCAGGUUGAAGGUUGGGUAACACUAACUGGAGGACCGAACCGACUAAUGUUGAAAAAUUAGCGGAUGACCUGUGGCUGGGGGUGAAAGGCCAAUCAAACCGGGAGAUAGCUGGUUCUCCCCGAAAGCUAUUUAGGUAGCGCCUCGUGAAUUCAUCUCCGGGGGUAGAGCACUGUUUCGGCUAGGGGGCCAUCCCGGCUUACCAACCCGAUGCAAACUGCGAAUACCGGAGAAUGUUAUCACGGGAGACACACGGCGGGUGCUAACGUCCGUCGUGAAGAGGGAAACAACCCAGACCGCCAGCUAAGGUCCCAAAGUCAUGGUUAAGUGGGAAACGAUGUGGGAAGGCCCAGACAGCCAGGAUGUUGGCUUAGAAGCAGCCAUCAUUUAAAGAAAGCGUAAUAGCUCACUGGUCGAGUCGGCCUGCGCGGAAGAUGUAACGGGGCUAAACCAUGCACCGAAGCUGCGGCAGCGAACGUAUCACUUAAAGCGAUUCAGCGGGUUACGAUUGACGGAGCGAAGCGACGUCAAAGCGUAUACAAAGUCGAGUCGGUUUAAGGAUACGUUCGUUGGGUAGGGGAGCGUUCUGUAAGCCUGCGAAGGUGGCCUGUGAGGGUUGCUGGAGGUAUCAGAAGUGCGAAUGCUGACAUAAGUAACGAUAAAGCGGGUGAAAAGCCCGCUCGCCGGAAGACCAAGGGUUCCUGUCCAACGUUAAUCGGGGCAGGGUGAGUCGACCCCUAAGGCGAGGCCGAAAGGCGUAGUCGAUGGGAAACGGGUUAAUAUUCCCGUACUUGGUGUUACUGCGAAGGGGGGACGGAGAAGGCUAUGUUGGCCGGGCGACGGUUGUCCCGGUUUAAGCGUGUAGGCUGGUUUUCCAGGCAAAUCCGGAAAAUCAAGGCUGAGGCGUGACGACGAGGCACUACGGUGCUGAAGCAACAAAUGCCCUGCUUCCAGGAAAAGCCUCUAAGCAU
rnacentral:rRNA from 1 species